UGGGGAAUAUUGCACAAUGGGGGAAACCCUGAUGCAGCAACGCCGCGUGAGUGAUGACGGCCUUCGGGUUGUAAAGCUCUGUCUUCAGGGACGAUAAUGACGGUACCUGAGGAGGAAGCCACGGCUAACUACGUGCCAGCAGCCGCGGUAAUACGUAGGUGGCAAGCGUUGUCCGGAUUUACUGGGCGUAAAGGGAGCGUAGGCGGACUUUUAAGUGAGAUGUGAAAUACCCGGGCUCAACCUGGGUGCUGCAUUUCAAACUGGAAGUCUAGAGUGCAGGAGAGGAGAGUGGAAUUCCAAGUGUAGCGGUGAAAUGCGUAGAGAUUAGGAAGAACACCAGUGGCGAAGGCGACUCUCUGGACUGUAACUGACGCUGAGGCUCGAAAGCGUGGGGAGCAAACA
rnacentral:rRNA from 1 species